AGGCCGGUCGAGGGAGCCGGUGCUCCCCACGGGCUGCAAACCCGCCGAGAAUGCGGAUAAGACGCAUUCUGCUCGGUUCAACUCCGAGGCCGGCCUA
rnacentral:tRNA from 1 species